rnacentral:lncRNA from 1 species
AAAGCACACUUUCAUGUUCAAAAAAAAAUGUAGGCCUCAGUCCUGCAAAGCAGUUAAGUAUGUAUUUAACUAUUAACAUGUAACUGUUGCAUUCGACUGCAGUAGGACUGCUUGAAAACUUUAACUGAAGCUCAUGCUGAAGUAUUUCAGUGGAUCAGGGCCUAUAUGCAUUGCCAAGGAAUAGCAAUGGAUUAGCAUUAUGGUACUAAGGAGAAUAAGCCGUCUUAUCAUGACAAUCUGCACAGUGGGUAGAGGAGGCGCGCAUUGUAAAGAAGGAAUAGAAUCCAAGGAAGACACUAACUGGUAA